ensembl:lncRNA
ACCAUUAGCUGGGGCCAUCUUUUAUAUACAGAUUAUGCUGGUGAGAUAUUUCUACAGUUGGGACAUGUAAACAAACCAGUUCCAGUGUUGUUGGGCCACCGAUGAGCAGAUAAUCUUAUUCUCAAAGCCAGAAAAUAUGCAUUAACAUAUUUGAGCCCACUGGAAAAUGUUCCUCGACAUGAUUAUACAGCUCUUUUAAAGAGGUCCUAUUCAUAAUAUCAAACAAACACACGAUCAGCAGCAUUCGAAAUGCUCAGAGUAAUAUUUUAUGUCACAGGUGUGUUUAUGAGCUCACAGUACGCUGGCUUUAGCUUACAGGCAGAAACUACACAGAGAAAUGUGGAAGCUGGCUCUCCAGGUACGUUUUGGGUACAAAAGUGAUUGGACAGCCAAACUCUCAAAAACAAAAAAAGGGGUUGGGUCAGUGCAUUUCCUAAAAACAUACCUUCUAACGUUAGAAUAGUGUGAUGAAACUGUGAUAAAAGACUCCACCCACCCAGGAUGAAGCUGGUGUGGGAAAACAAGCGCCAGCAGCCUCGUUCGAGUUUCCCUCUCAUUGAAUAAUUGAGCCCCAUCUGCCCAGUCUGAACAGUGACUAUCAUGAAAUUAGUUUUUGGUAUUUUUUGUAUUCGUUCAUAAAGUGAAGCCUGACAUUUCAGCCAGUGACUGUGUGCUGUGCUCUUGGUCUUAUUAUAAACGCUUCCACACUUAAACCACAGCUGGAGCAGCUCUCACAAAGCCCAAGGGUCAAAGGUCAUGUCCACUCCUUCACUCGACCCUGGGUCAGCACUGCUGUCUGUGGAGGCUUUGUGAACGCAGCCCCUGGACUAUAAAUACAUAAAUGUAAGAGGCUCGCGGCAGUAAUCUACAGUAUAUUCUCUCUUCUCUGUUUUCGGUAUAGGUUUGGCUAAUCCUCGGUAUGAGCUGGUUGGACUGUAGUGUUUUUAUAAUGUGCUUUUUCUUUUUUCAAACGUGCUGCAGUGAGUUGUUCACUUUGAUUUAUUUUAGGCUUUUCUAACUGUCCAGGCCAGGAUGAAGGUACCAGAUAAAACAGGUAUAUCACAGAAGCCACGUAAAGGGUGAUCUUUUGUUAUUAUUGUUACCAGAUUGACCUUUAAACAUUAUCCUGCAAAGACAAAUUCUAAUAUUGGUUUUAGUUUUCUUUUCAGUUAAUCGAUUUCUUUGUUGUUGUUAAUGCUGCAACCUUUAAUUGCAAAGCAUUGUGGGAAGUGGAGUUCUACUCCUCCGUGUGCUAGCACUGCGGCAGAGAUAUUAACCCAACAGCGUUUCAGUCGGUUUUUAAUUUGUGAGGAAAACGUGCGCUCUGAACAGUUUCUGAUAUUCAACGGUCCCACCUAACCAAAAAAAGUACAAGUGUACAUGUGGAAGAUUACAUUAAAAGGUUUGCUCUACAACUUUUAGAUUUGAAAAGUUAAAGGUGAAAAUAGUUUUUUCAGGCUGUUAAGAAGGAAAGUGAUUCAUGAAUCAAGGUGCAUAAUCGUGGAUUCAUGGUUAGAAUUAAGCUGUAUGGUGCAAAAGUCUUGAGUCACCUCAUUUUUUUUUAAUAUUUGCUUCCAGGCAGCGUGGCUUUCUUGUAAAUUUUGAGUAACCGUUCUCCAGACUUUGUGAAGGUCUUUCAGAAUUUUCUUUGACAUUGGCUGCUUUUUCACUCAUUUUCAGUUCAGUCCUUGUACCUGAGCAGAGACUUAACACUGACCUAUGACUCAUUCAAGGAUAACUUUACAGAUAAUUUUAAAUUGUAUCUUUAGGUACUUUGUAACUAGCAACCUGUUGCAAAGUUUUAAUGGUUUUAAUUUUUCUUGCUGAAUCUAAGAAAAAUUGACAGAUAAAUAGUAUUUUUGUCUAAAAGUCAGAAAUAGGAAAAAAAUCCAACAAAGACCUGAAACAGACCUGAGAGAUGCAUCUGAACCUUCAGAUGAUCCGUCUACUGUUCACUGAAGCCUCAUUAGAAAUCAGUGGAAGUGGAAGGGUGGCUGUCAGGAAGGCUGAGGUAUGUCAGAUUACACAAGAACUGGACUGAAAAUCAGUGACAACAGGUCUGAUGGAGUGAUGUAAUAAGGUCAGAGUCUGCAGACAUCUGUAAAACACGGUGGAGGCUGUGUUACGGUUUGGAGCUGCAUCUCAGCCAGUGGUUUUGGAGAUCGUGUCAAAAUUAAUGUGAAUUGUGAACACAGAAAAGUACCAUUGGUAAAUCAUUCAAUUGGCAGCAACUUAAUUUUUAACAUGACAAUGACCCCAAACACACUGCCAAUGCAGUAAAAUCAUAACUGGAUAGAAAAACACACUCAAUGAAACGCUAUCAGUCAUGAAUUGGCCUUCUCAGAGCUCAGAUCUCAAUAUUGUUGAAUUUGUGUGGGAUCAUCUAAAGACAGCCAACAUCCAAAGAGAGCUUUGAAUGUCCCUAAAGAAGCCUGGAGAACGACUCCUACUUAAAGAAAUUACAAGAAAUAUUGUCUAAGAGUUCAGGCUGUGCUGAAGAAUAAAGGUUGUCACACCAAAUAUUGACUUUUAAGUCUCUUAGAAUUAUACAAACUCAGUUUUUUCCUUAUAUGCUGUAUUUACAUGUAUGUUUGCAUGAAACUAAGGUACUGCACCUACUUCCAAAAUGCAAAAAGAUGAGGGAUGGAUCAGGACUUUUGCACAGUAUUGUAGUAGUCUGAAAAUAUGACAGUUUUGACUAGCCGGCCAUAUUUAGCUCAGAAAAAAGGGGGGGACAUCAGUGGACAUGUGGUGCUUGGUGGGACUCCACAUUUGUCUAAAUUGUACAUUACAGCUGUUUAAUUGUACAAUCACUAACUUCAAUCAGCAUUCGGCCUAAUCUCGACCUCCAUAUCUCCUGCUGUAAUAAUCUAAGUCUGUAUCUGAGACUGUUCAGACUGCUCAGUACUUUCACCUUUACCUGUGCAGGUUUAUUCCCAAUAACGACAUGAUUCUGAAAAAGGGACAGGGCUCAAAAGUAGCUUUAAUUUUUUUGUUCUUGUAUAUAAACUCAAUUAACUCAACAACUGCACUCUGCUGGAGAUUCACAACUGGACUAAAGGGCGGACAAUGAGUGGACAGGUUCUUGGUUUUCUCCCUGAAUGUUUAGAAUAAGAUUUAAGGAUUUGUGCCAAGGCCUGCGUUUAUAGACAUUAUUACUGAAGCAAAAAAAAAAGCACAUAUGAAGAGAUAGAGAGUGGAUUUGCAACAGACCUGGCCAAUAUUUACCUAGAAUUUAAAGAAAGAAAAAAAGGAAGAAGGUUGUAUCGUAACGGAGGAUGCAAAAACCUAGAGAAAAGUGGUCUGAUUGCUCUGAUUGUUCUGAUUGUUUAUUCUAUGGUCGUGUUGUUGUGCUGGAGCCAUAGAUAUACUCAGUCAUGAAAUUCGCCCGGAGUAGCUGGUGACCCUGCAGCUUCUAAGAAUGUAAAGCUGUGACUUUGACGAUUUUGCUACUUCCCGUAUUGUUUGAUGUGCUGACAGCUUUUCCGGUCCUGGCAACAAAAGCAGAGACCUCGCAUAUCAAGCGUACCUUGUGUAUCUAUGGCUACUGGCUUCUAAGAAAACUUUGUUAUGUGUUGAAAAUGUGAAAAACGAACUAUGUUGUAAAGACUUCUUUUGGUAAGGCAGCCUGUAAAGUAAAAUUGGGGUAAUAUAACCUAGACAAUGAAACUAAAUGAAACUGUGUACUGCACACUAAAAUCAACUGUAAGCAAGUAUGCAUGUAACUAUAGCUAAUAAAUGGUGAACAAAACUGUG